UCCGGUUGAUCCUGCCGGAGGCCACUGCUAUCGGUUUCCGACUAAGCCAUGCGAGUCGGGUGUCGCAAGACGCCGGCGCACGGCUCAGUAACACGCGGAUUAUCUAUCCUCUGGUGGGGGAUAACCUCGGGAAACUGAGGCUAAUACCCCAUAGGUAUCUGAAGUUUGAACACUCAGAUACUGAAAGCGCGAGCGCCAGAGGGUGAGUCUGCGGCCUAUCAGGUAGUAGGUGGUGUAACGGACCACCUAGCCUAAGACGGGUACGGGCCUUGAGAGAGGGAGCCCGGAGAUGGAUUCUGAGACACGAAUCCAGGCCCUACGGGGCGCAGCAGGCGCGAAACCUUCACACUGCGCGUAAGCGCGAUGAGGGGAGACCGAGUGCCUUCUCUUUUUGGGAAGGCUUUUCGCAAGCCUAAAAAGCUUGCGGAAUAAGGGCUGGGCAAGACGGGUGCCAGCCGCCGCGGUAAUACCCGCAGCUCGAGUGGUGGUCGCUAUUGUUGAGCCUAAAACGUCCGUAGUCGGCUUUGUAAAUCCCUGGGUAAAUCGGGUUGCUUAACAAUCCGUUUCCUGGGGAGACUGCAAAGCUUGGGACCGGGAGAGGUUGGAGGUACUCUCGGGGUAGGGGUGAAAUCCUGUAAUCCCGAGGGGACCACCUGUGGUGAAAACGUCCAACUUGAACGGCUCCGACGAUGAGGGACGAAGGCUAGGGGAGCAAACCGGAUUAGAUACCCGGGUAGUCCUAGCUGUAAACGCUGCCCGCUUGGUGUGGCCUGUUCUUCGGGGGCAGGCCGUGCCGGAGCGAAGGUGUUAAGCGGGCUGCUUGGGGAGUACGGCCGCAAGGUUGAAACUUAAAGGAAUUGGCGGGGGAGCACCGCAACGGGAGGAUGCGUGCGGUUUAAUUGGAUUCAACGCCGGG
rnacentral:rRNA from 1 species